rnacentral:rRNA from 1 species
CACCACGACUAUGACACGUUGAAUGUUCCAGUUCCAAAUGGGUCACAAAAGUUAAGCAACAUUGCGCGUGAUUGGUAUCCCGAUGGGUGAUCAUCUUGGCAAUCGCGUGUUGCUGUCU